UCACGCGACAGUUCGAUUUAUGUGAAUUUAUCGAAUCGAGUUUCGAUAAUCGUUCGGAUUUACGAAAACAGCGGAUUCGAUGCCGGCUCAACGACAGUUUGCGAAUGGUAGUGCAUACUUAAUGUUGUAAAGAAAGUGAAUUUUGUGCAACAUUUUGCAGCAUAAGCGCAAUAUAGUUACAAGAUCCGGUUGGACGGCCUUAGGAUUACUGUCGAUGGAUAUUACGUUGUUUGAUUCUUCGAGAGAUGAGGGGCUCCUGGGCAAGGGUGGACUAAGGAUGGCCGAGGAUGACCACAGCUGACCUCUGACCACUGACCACUGACCACUACUGACCAACGUUUAGUUGAGAUUAUUCGUCAAUUUAUCGCAUCGUUGGAAUUGUUGGUCGAUUUCUGAUUAUUUCAUUAAUCAGAUUGUUUCAUUCGUGGUCAUCGAUGGAGUUGUAACUCGAUAUUUUAAUUAACAAUUUCAUUUUUCUAUUUUCAGGUUAUUUUAUUCUAUUACUUAUGUAUAUGUAUGCCUAAUCAAUCUAUUCGUGGACCACUGAACGAAACCAUCCUUUUGUGAAUAAUGGUGAAAUAAUACCUAUAAUAGACUUCGUUACGAUAAACAUCGAAGAAAUAACAACUCCGCGCCUUUCCUCGACUCAACCAGUCAGGGGUGCGAUAAUUGUAAUAACAAGCACUCCUUUCGUUCUACAAUUCACCAAGGAUGGCUACUUGAAAUACCGUUUAUCGCUAGUCUUUACAAGUAUCGAAAACGUUUUAUCUUGGUUUAUUUCUUAUUGCUGGAGUAUAAUAUAUGACGUGAUCGGGAGUUCAACCCUUUGAAUUAGUCGACAAUUCGUUGAAAAGAAAAAAAAAUACAGAAACAGAAGCAGGAAAAAUCGGAAAUAACUUUCGGUUCACCCUAAUACUUUUACCAACUAACAACGUUCGUGAAGAGAGGGAACCUACAGCGAUAAAUAAUACUGUACUUAAAAGUAGGUGUAGAAACCAAAAAAGGUUGAAAUACACUGGCGUGCGUCGCAAAAAACGGUGGAAACAAAUUGGAAUUCGUUUUCUGUUAAAGAAUUCUGCGAGUAUGAAAAAAAGCACGCAAAAGUGUUCCACAAUUUUUAGGUAAAAUUCCAUUUCGUAGCGGUCGAAACCUCCUCGUCGGAAAUAUCUCGAUUUUUCUACGUCAUCAAAAACCUUUCCCUGGUAAAACGAUCGUACCAGCCAGACGGGCAUUAUUCUUUUGCAACGCUUUCCCGUUUCCCGUAUCCCGUUCUCCAGUCUUUGAGAUCAGCGGUUAUUUUGUAAUCUUUGAAAAUGCUCGUGAAUCCACAGGAAAAGUAAUACUUGUCCAAUGGACGAGUUUACUUCCCAUUUAUCGCGAGAAGAUUGCAGGUUGUGACUCAGCUCGCUUAACCGAUGAAACGCGAAGAAAAUAGGAAAUCCUGCAACGAAUCGUAUCACUAAAAAAUACAAUUUUCAUCGUCGGAAACCGGUUCCUGCGUUAACUACACGUUUAAUUAACCAGAGAACGGGUCAUUUUCUAGGAAAGUGUUGAUCAAAUUGUCGAGCUUCGCGUCGAGUUGAUUUAACAGAAUUAGACAUCUCUUUUUUUUCAAGACAUCUCUUUGUUACAAGGCUAUAGGACGUCUGUAGAAUAGUGAUGUUAAAUAAGAAAAAGUAACGCGACUCAGAAAAUCAAAAGAGCUGAUUAAAAGGCGGAACACUCGUAGCCUCUAAUGAUUUGUCUUGUCGGCUAGUAGAACGGGCGGCUUUAAUCAGACGACGGCUCGGCGACCAUGAGGGUACCUGCACUCGUCGUUCGAUCCGUUAGCGAUUUUAAUUGGCGCUUGCCAGAGAAAGAUCGUUACGUAAACGUGAAUAAACAAACACAUGGGACCAGGGUGCUCGCAGCUGGUCUCGUUUUCUGUCAUCGAUUUCGGUCUCGUUCCUUGUGCCUGACGUAACCGCACUUACUAUUAGGCAUUAAGAUACAAUCAGAUACAAUACAAAGUAAAACUCCCUGUAUAAACUGUUGAAUUCAGGACUCGAAUUAAAGUAAACGAGUUUGAUCAAAUUAAUCACGCUACGAAUAUUCGUUACACUCACUGCGAAAUCCGCGUUAUCGGAUGUGCCCGACCCAUCAGUUUUCAAUUAUAAAACGCGACGACACACGUUUAGCCGCUGCUAUCGUGACCCAUUCUAACCCGAGAUGCGUGUAACCAAUUUGCCAGUCUUAGAGAACGGCUGGUUGAUUUUCAUUUCAACUUGAAGCGAAACUGCCGAAUCUAUUCCUCCGUCGAUGGUUUGCAACCUUUCCUAUAGAGAGGGUGUAAAAUGAAAGGAAAGAGGAUGCCGCAUUACAUCCGCAGUGAUUACUCCUCGUAAGAUUUCUUGCAAUCAGUUGUUUUUUUCGUGGUUGUUGCUGGAGCGAUCCCACGCCCUGCAUCUUGUUCCUUCGAAUUGGAAUUCGGAACUACGAGUCCCAACAGCGUACGUGCAACGAUGAAAAUAAAUAGCGGCAAUACGUUUUCAGGGAAAAAUGAAGCGGAGCGCCUCUGCUAAAUAAUUUAGAACGGUGUUUCUCAAACUUCUCCUUUCCGCGAAUACUAUCGGAGAGGGAAACCUUUGCUUCUCUUCCUUGGAAUGAAAUUAAGCGACUGCUUUUUAAAUGUAUAUCGAUACUUGAUCACAACCAACUCCUUGUUUAUUUCCGAAAGGUGAUAAUUAUUUUCACUUGUAAUUAAGCUUCAUAUUAUAUGUACGAUGAAAAGAUUGUCAAGAUAAUGGAAAAUGAAGAAAAUGCCGAAUUAAAUAUAAGACAUGUGUUCCUUGUGAAAUCAACACAAGAGUUUCUCGAUUUCAAAAUAAAAGGGGAAUCUCAUAUUCCUGAUUCCUGCCACGAAUUCUACAACGUGUCACUUUUUUUUCUUCUACGAGUUCGUAUGUUCCUAGUUGCUUGCGUUCGUGGAACUUGUGGGGUACGCGGUUCACAAUUUGGAAAGCACCGGUGGUUGUCAAGCUGCUUGAAAUCGUGUGGGAAAGUUAAAUCGUUCCAGGUUGCUGCAUUUCGAGUUGGCCGAUGUUAGCACAGAUCUACGAAUUCACCGGAAUCGAGGGAAAAUUAAAGUAGUAUUCGAUAGUAAUGGAAAUGACAGAAAUCAAUACUGCUGAUGCCAGCUUGAAAAUUGUAAUUUAGCGUCGAAUAGUAUCAGAUUGUAGGUUUCGUAUAGAAUUGAUAUCCAUUUAUUAUUGCAACGCAAGAUUCGUGCCCACCGUAUCGUUUCCGAUACAAGCUAAUUUCAACCAACUUAUAUCGUUUUUAAUUAAAGAAUCGCAUCACGACAAUUUACAUAAAUUGAACAGUUAUUUUGCAAUUAACCCGAAUCACAUAGUUUGGACCUUCAAAAAUAACUAGAAUAAGGUCCAAAUGAAACUUUAAUUGUAAUAUUAAAAAUAUCUACUCAACGCAUUGUGGCGCAACAAAUUCUGUUUAAUCGGAUUUUUUUUUUUUUUUUUUUUAAACAUAUUUGGAGAAUCUCGUAUUUUGGACAAUUUUUUAAUUCCAAAUGUGAAGGACUGAUUACGAUAAAAAAAUCUAUUUUUUUUUGAAGUUCGAAUCGAAAAGUUGUUUACCAAUUUGCGAACUGCGGCUUCGUUGUCGAGAUAUAAACAGUUGAAAUUUUCAAGUGCGCCUACGUAAAUUCUAUAUGAAUCUUAGUAGGUAUCAAAUUUUGCUUAUUGUUAUUCUCCUACAAUUACUGUAAUUGUCAAUUUGAAAUUGUGAAAAAUCUGAAUUUUAAAACGUUUCUUUUCAAUUUCCCAGAAAUUUGAAAAAAUCGAGCUGUCUCCUUACCGAAGCACAUCCUUCAAUUAUAAAAAACUAAACGUUCAUCUAAAUUCCCUUGGCGGUUCUUCGGCGCGGCCACGCGGAUUGUUAACGAUUUGUCAUGCUAAUCAACGAUAAAACUCUAGCAUUCUUACCUCGCUUUACACUUGAUCUUGACACGAAUCUCAUUCUCGUCAGUUUGCAGCUUCUUCAAGCCCUCGUCGGCGUCGUGGUGACUUUUCCACCAGAGGCGCGAAUAUAAUAGUUGAUCAAUUUUCUAACAGGAUCCACGUGACCACUCGCACUCGCUUUCAACAGCAUCGCUGAUCGCUCAAACAGUCGAUUCCCUCGAAACCGCUUUUCUAUUCCACCCCCCACCCCCCACCCGCCCCUAGUCGCGUUUAACCGCACUAUCAGUCUUUAUCGAAGUCUGCCUUUUGUCGGCCUGUCUUAGAUCGCUUUAAUGGACUUGUUCGCGAGCCACCUUUGCGAUAGCAAAAAUUCAAAUAAGUCCCGUGGGCGAUCGAAUCAACAUGCUAUAUCACGAUCAAAGAGUUCGAUGCUCGAUAUUUGAAAAACCUUCCACGAGGUAAAUCGUUAGAAACGAGUGAAAAAUGAGUCCCAGGGAGGGCGUCGAAACUUUCCUUCGACUUUGCGGUCCCUAACGAAAUUCCCUUCCUUUGACUAACAGAGUGGAAACAUUACGCGUGCACGAAAAUUAAAGUAGAGUCGUACGUCACAGACCGAGAAUGAAUCGUUCACCGGGAGUCUUUCACCGCCUCGACCCCACUUGGAACAAAGUGUCCAAUUGCACGACUAGUGCGGCAGCCUCGCAAUUAGGCCUAAACGACCGACGAACUCAGUCUUCCAUUCGGCGCACUUGUUCACGAGUCGCGAUCCCCGUCUCUUGCCACGAUUUACCUGACUUAACCGAUUUAACCGAUCGAGACACGUUCAGUUAGGAAAAGUUUGCUUCUACUAGUCGGCGCAUUAAGGCAAAUUGUCGUCGCAAAGCAACCAUCGCUGUCUUUCCAUCGAAGCUAAUGCGUCAUAGACAAACUCGUUCCCAAUGAACGAAUGGAAUUCUUCGAAUAAACCAAGUGACAAUUAGUUUAGCUUUCUUCGAACUCGAAGAAAUGAAUCGUCCAAGAUCUGACAAAGGUAUCAGGUUCCUCUCUCGUUCUCCUCGCGACUCGGAGGAAGUCGAUUACAAUCGUCAGGCAUGUAUCAAUUAUUUAACAGAUACUUUCAGAUAUAUCACAGCUCUCCUACUGCCAAACUUUCAGCGAUCGGUCGAGUCCUGAAAUCUCAAAGAGAGUCGAGGGAAUCCAUCCAUUGUUGUCCGUCUGGCUGGACGAAAGACAUGAUUAAUCUUUUAACGAUGAUUCCCCCUCGGUUUUUCACGUUUCCGAACGUGGAACGCGCUUGCAGACAAGCAAGGAACGCGACUCGUCCCGAGCAAGUGUCGCGCGCAGACUGAGGCUGCGAUUACCGUAACGGUUCCGCGUUCCCUCGCGACUUCCAGCCACGCGUUCUAUGCGCAGGGCUCGACGUGAAUCCCACGCCCGGACACCCUCGACCGAGGACACGUAAUCCCCGAUACCGGAUUAACCCUUCGAACAGGAAAAUCCGUUCGUCUUCGCGUUCGCGGCCGUUGAGGAAAAUUGAGACCGAUACCGGCGAUGGUGUCAACAAAGUGGAACAGAUUGUUGCGACCAUGGAAGAAGCCGGACUCUAUGUCCUUCGGACGAUGCGAAAUGCAACAGAUGCCCUCUUCAGCUAUCGACACAUGCUUGUUCGUUUCAGAGACAUUUCGAAUUCAUGGAAGACGGUAUACAUGUACUUGUUUUUGACGUGCAGUGUGUACACUCCCGCUUGGAACUAAAUCUGUGGACACUUCCUUAUUUGUAGAAAUAAAGGGGUCAAGGGUUUGUCAAAAACUAUCAAAAACUACUCCAAACCUACUUAGACAGUAUGUCUCCGUGUAGACAGUAUGUGCAUUAACAGAAAAACAGAAACUUAAAUUAAAGUACAUCUUCGUAUACAUCAUUGCAUAUUUUCAUGUAUUUAUGCUUGUCAUAAAUGCGUAAAUAACCGCGUCUAGUUACGAUUCGCCGUGAAUCUCUCUUAUCGUGGAGCUUAUCAUAAUAAUCUUAAACAAUGGCAAACUGUUCGAUCCAGUUGUAUGGGAGAUCUAGGACAGGCUCAACAACGGUAGUUGAAGUAGUUACCACCGAUGGUCCUUUGAUCCCUGGAAACGGAGGAGGGUGGGGGUGGGGGGUGGGGGACGUCGAUUGUGAAAGACGCCAAGUUCGCCAAUUGCGGAUCUUCUGAAACUGCGGAAACAUCACCGUGAGAGAGAACAAUAGUAGAUGCUUGCGUUUCAAUGGGAUUCUCUGAAUUACGAACGCAUUCCGGAUGUAACGCAGAAACUUCUCCAGAGGCUCGUUCGCUUCGUAUGAAUACUGGUGAAUCUACUCAAAGAUUAACAACAUGCUUACCUGGAUACGAAUUUUGUUAGCGAAUCUUCAAUUGCCGUUUCGACCUCGAUAGUCCAAGUGCCGUAAAUUCCGAAUUUCCGAAGGAUACAUGAAAAGCUACACUUGGAAUGGAACCACUCGAUCGUUGGUUCCAUCUGGACCAACGCUCCCUCUAAAAGGGUCUCGCAAGGCUACCACUCAAGAUAUCGAAAAUGCAACAACCGGGAAAAAAUAGCUACUUAUUAUCUUCGUUUCACAUAUUUUUCUCCAAACUGAAAAUAUGUAAGAUAUAAUCUGUUAAAAAUAAAGAUUUAUGUGUACAUAUU